UGGGGAAUUUUGGACAAUGGGCGCAGGCCUGAUCCAGCCAUUCCGCGUGCAGGAUGAAGGCCCUCGGGUUGUAAACUGCUUUUGUACGGAACGAAACGGUGCUCUCUAAUACAGGGCGCUAAUGACGGUACCGUAAGAAGAAGCCCCGGCUAACUUCGUGCCAGCAGCCGCGGUAAUACGAAGGGGGCGAGCGUUGUUCGGAUUUACUGAGCGUAAAGGGCGCGCAGGCGGUUCUGUUUGUCGAGUGUGAAAGCCCCGGGCUCAACCUGGGAACUGCGCUCGAAACGGCAGAACUAGAGUUCGGGAGAGGAGAGUGGAAUUCCCAGUGUAGAGGUGAAAUUCGUAGAUAUUGGGAAGAACACCGGUGGCGAAGGCGGCUCUCUGGACCGAUACUGACGCUGAGGCGCGAAAGCGUGGGGAGCAAAC
rnacentral:rRNA from 1 species